UGGGGAAUAUUGCACAAUGGGCGCAAGCCUGAUGCAGCCAUGCCGCGUGUGUGAAGAAGGCCUUCGGGUUGUAAAGCACUUUCAGCGAGGAGGAAGGUGGGUGGACUUAAUACGUUCAUCAAUUGACGUUACUCGCAGAAGAAGCACCGGCUAACUCCGUGCCAGCAGCCGCGGUAAUACGGAGGGUGCAAGCGUUAAUCGGAAUUACUGGCGUAAAGCGCACGCAGGCGGUUUGUUAAGUCAGAUGUGAAAUCCCCGGGCUCAACCUGGGAACUGCAUUUGAAACUGGCAAGCUAGAGUCUCGUAGAGGGGGGUAGAAUUCCAGGUGUAGCGGUGAAAUGCGUAGAGAUCUGGAGGAAUACCGGUGGCGAAGGCGGCCCCCUGGACGAAGACUGACGCUCAGGUGCGAAAAGCGU
rnacentral:rRNA from 1 species